GCAGGGGGACUCCUUCCAGCAGGGUGGGUUUGCACCCUUGGUGGCGGCGGGGAAACUCCUCUCUGAACACUCACAGGGGUAUGCGGCCAAUCUUGCGAGGAUUGUGACUCGGAGUGGCGCCAUUUUGGGAGUGAGGCAAUUUGCAUUACACAGUCUUGGAUAUUUGGAGCCUUUUGCUGCAGCUGGUAGGGAGGAAAAAAGGGGAACGCUGUCCUGCACCAGUUGUUUCUUGUAAAAGGGGAGAAAUAUCGGACACUGAUUUGGGAUUAUUUGUCCAAGUGCUUCCUUCUGAAAAGGCUUCUGAAACAAUCCUUAGGCAUUCAGGAAGUGAAUUGCAAGUUGAAGUCAUGAGCUUUUUCUUUCUAGCAGUGCAGAGCACCUUACCCUUGGACACUUUUGUCCAUGUCGCAUGGAUACACAGCUAAAUUUAUUAAGUUCUGAAUACUUUGCCUGCCAAAAUAAAGUUCUGUUUUGCAUUUAGUUACUUUUUAUCUUCCAUACAUGUUCUGAGUCAUAGCCAUAACCGAUUCUCUUCGUUGACUCCAGGCUAAAUGCAGCCCGAGUCACUGUGUAGAUGUUGCUGAAAAGUUUCAUGGCAGAUAUUUUUACACUUAUUUUUUGAUAUAGCCUAUGGUCAUUUUGCAAUGAGACCUACUUUCUAAAUCAAGUGGCUCAUAUACAUUUGCUUGUAAUUUUUCUUUUAUUAUUUUUUAAUAUUUUUAAUGAAAAAUGUUGUUGCCAAUAAACAAUAUGGUGGUAUCCAGAUAGCUGUUGUUUACAAAUACCUCUGUUACCUGAAGCUAGGAAAUGUUCCUGAGUUCAGAUGUGAAAUUUGGAUUUUUGGUCUCACAGGCUGUGGUGUAAAAAGUGUAUUUGUUUCACCUGUAGUUGAUGCUUCUUAUAGUGAAAUGUACAUGGAAUAGACAAAUGAAGAAACUGUCAGAGGGAAAGAAAGCUUCUUAGGGCAGAGACUUGGCAAAUUUUGGAAAUAGUCUUGCAGAAUCUGUAAGCAGGAAGGAUGGGUAGCUGAUUUCUAUGAGGUCAAAACUACAUCAAACAGCUAUGAAUGCAGUAUUGAUGAGAACUCUGGAUAUUAUCUCGAGGAAAACAAACUGGAAAAAUAUAAGUCAUGCAGUACUAAUACCUCAUCCAGCCCUCUUGGAUUAGGUAAGUAUUGUAGUGUUCAUAAAUCGAUUUUCUACUGAUAAAAUGUUUUUUUCAAGGGUACAGUUAAACUAGUAAUAUUACUGCCUAGAAGAUAUUGUUUGUUUUUUUUUUUUGGAGAACAUUGAAAUGAGCUUGCAGGAAAUAACCUUUACUUGCCAUUUUAACAAUUAAUGGAGUAUUUUUAAGAAUUUGCAGAAUACGUGUAUUGCUGCAAAAAAUUUGUAAGCAUGAAUUUUUUUUCAUGGAGAUCAAAAGUAUGUACAUCUCGACUGAAUCAUAGGUAACUUCCUAUUAAUACUUUAAUCACAACAAUGAACUUUUAUACUUAUUGAACAAGUCUGCUGUAGAGCUUGUGUGUCUCAGUCUUUCCAUUUGUAUUAGAUAUUUUUUCAGCAUGAAGUUGCUGAUAAUGUAGCUCUUUUAAAAAUUAAUUUCCUUCCAAUGUUCUUUGUCACUUAUGGAAGCCAGAUUUUAUUACAAAAAAUUAUUUGCUGCCUAUGCAAACUGGCUUUUACAUGUAUUGAUAUUUUAAGGUUGGAUUCAGAGUAAUUUCCUGCCCUGUAAUGGAAAUGAAUGACUGAUUAGUUUGAAAGCAUACCAUAACAAUCCCCCCAAAAUCUUUUUGGAAGGUUUCAAAACAAAAUAUAGUGGUGAACUAACCAAUUUUACAUGUUAUUCUUAGAUGUAUUGCUGCCCCCUUCCCUUGUAGUGGUUAAAUGUUUCUGAAUAUAGGUAUAGUUUAGCUAUUGGAAUGAAUAUAUUUAUAAUGUUUUUUGUAGGUUUGCUUUCAGCUGAAUUACUACUGCAUUGAAGAAAAUUAAGAUGAACAGAACAACUUAAUUCAGAAGUCAGAGGUAAUUUUACUAAGUUCUCUUCCCCUUACUGGACCUUGAUUAUUCAUAAAGUUUUAAUUAAUUAAAAUAUUAUUGGGUAGACUGUAAACUGAGUGUCUGGUAAAGGUGAAACAUUUACCUUUAGUUGCAACCUUGUCCAAAAUAUUUCAGAGCUUCUUAAUUACUGAAAUAUUAAUAAUAGUGAGUUAAUGGAAAAAUUUUUUUUAUCUAAGGGCACUGCAAAAAUGUUUGAUAAGAUGGCUUAUAUUAAAACCUUGAAGAAAAGUAAUUUUAAGCAUAUGAAACUUUGCCGAAAGAUUACUACAAUGGUGGUGGUUUUUUCUUUUUCUUCCCUGUGACUUGCUAUUUUGACCAUAAAUGAAUGACUUGCACCUAAAUAAGUAUUUUAAAUUCUUAAGCUCACUGAAGUAGUUCUGUUCUGUGUGUUGUUUUGUCAAUAUCUAAAAGUUGACCUAGCUUCAGUAUUUUGCCUUCUUAGAAUAUUUUUGCUGUUUUGUUAUUUUAACUUACAUUUCAGUUUUGCUGUUUUGAAAAUAUGGAAACUCUAGAACGUAAAUAGGAGUGUUUCUAUAAUUGCUUGGGGCUCUUCUAGAUGGAGUCUUGGUAUGGCUUGGCUUGGCUGAAUGAACUGAGCCACUCGUAAAGCAACCACACUAACAGAAUUACCUUCCUCAUUCUCUUUUAGUUGCGUCAGUGUUUUGCUUGAAAACACUUGGUAAAUGGGAAAAAUUCAGGUGUGAGUGCCCAUUUUAUUAGAUUUUUGUCUAUUAUGUGGCUAUAAACAUAGGAAUACAAGUACUUGCUUUUUAAAUCAUAGAAGAAGUGAUGUCUGUCUCUUACAAGCUAUUAACUUCCAGUGCUAUCUGAUACUUUUACCUCUUGACAAAAGGCUCUUAUUGAAACCAAGGAAUUGCAUUCUCUCCACUUACUAUUUUGGGUGGCAUUUUUACCUGGACUCCUUUCUCUUCUAUAUGUUUUGAAGAAUUUUCUUUUUAGUUUUAUAAAUUAGCCUUUUCAUUUUUCUGGUUGCUGGUAGGAUAGUUAUUUUUUUCUCUUCACUGUGUUUUGCAUUUGGGAAGUCCAUUUAUUUUUAUUUGUAUGUGUAUGUAUUUGACACAGAUUCAGGCAUGUGCCCUUGUGUACCCUAAGCAAAAUUCAUGCUUGGGUGAAGACCGUUGAGGAAAAAAUGCCUAGCAUGCCGGUCCUUCUUUAGGACUGCUCACAGUCUGUUAGGUGGUUUGCAGAUAGCUAUGAAGAUAAGGUCCUUGCCUUGGAAAGAUUAUACUUUAAACCUUGAUGUAAACAUAGCUUUUGUGCUGGAAUAACUGUCAGCAACUUGACUCUCUUACUGAUGCAUUUAUUCUGGUAGAAUUCAAAAGUGAGUACCUUUCUUGAGAAAUUAUAUUGAAUGGUGUAGGCUGCUCUUCUGUGAAAAAACUGCUGGUGGAAGCUUUUCAGUUUAAAUUUACGUAAUAGAAAUAAAAUCUGUAAAAUUAUAUAUGGAAAUUGUGUAGAUAUUUACUUUGUUACUAUUUCACUAGCUAAUGUACUUCAAGCUCUUUUUUUUUCUGUUCUAGUGAGAUUUUUCUGUUUAAAAUGUAUGGGUAAAAUGGUUUGAUAGUGAUAGUUCAUCUGUAAUUUCUGAGAAAGUUGCUCUUUAUUAUAAAUAAACUUGAAUGAGACUUGG